AUUUGUCUGGUUAAUUCCGAUAACGAACGAGACCUUAACCUGCUAACUAGAUUCUUUUAUUUUAUAACUGAUAUCUUUUUAGAGGGACUAUGUAAUCUAAAUACAUGGAAGUUUGAGGCAAUAACAGGUCAGUGAUGCCCUUAUAUGUCCUGGGCUGCACGCGUGCUACACUGAUGCAUACAACAAGUGCCUAACCAGACAUGGUAUGGCAAUCUCGAAUAUGCAUCGUGAUGGGGAUAGAUCUUUGCAAUUAUAGAUCUUGAACGAGGAAUUCCUAGUAAGUGCAAGUCAUCAUCUUGCAUUGAUUAUGUCCCUGCCCUUUGUACACACCGCCCGUCGCUCCUACCGAUACCGGGUGAUCCGGUGAACCUUUUGGACCUGUAUGGGGAAGAUAAGUAAACCAUAUCACCUAGAGGAAGGAGAAGUCGUAACAAGGUUUCCGUAGGUGAACCUGCRGAAGGAUCA
rnacentral:rRNA from 1 species